rnacentral:rRNA from 1 species
CAGAGGGUGCGAACGUUGCUCGGAAUGACUGGGCGUAAAGCGCGUGUAGGCGGUCUGCUAAGUCGACUGUGAAAGCCCGUGGCUCAACUACGGAAGUGCAGUCGAAACUGUCAGACUCGAGGUCCGGAGAGGGUGGCGGAAUUCCCAGUGUAGAGGUGAAAUUCGUAGAUAUUGGGAGGAACACCGGUGGCGAAGGCGGCCACCUGGACGGGUUCUGACGCUGAGACGCGAAAGCGUGGGGAGCAAACAGGAUUAGAUACCCUGGUAGUCCACGCCGUAAACGAUGAGCACUAGGUGUUGUGGGUAUUGACCCCUGCAGUGCCGACGCUAACGCAUUAAGUGCUCCGCCUGGGGAGUACGGCCGCAAGGCUA